AACGAACGCUGGCGGCAUGCCUAACACAUGCAAGUCGAACGAGACCUUCGGGUCUAGUGGCGCACGGGUGCGUAACGCGUGGGAACCUGCCCUUAGGUUCGGAAUAACUCCCCGAAAGGGGUGCUAAUACCGGAUAAUGUCUUCGGACCAAAGAUUUAUCGCCUUUGGAUGGGCCCGCGUUGGAUUAGCUAGUUGGUAGGGUAAAAGCCUACCAAGGCGACGAUCCAUAGCUGGUCUGAGAGGAUGAUCAGCCACACUGGGACUGAGACACGGCCCAGACGCGUACGGGAGGUAGCAGUGGGGAAUAUGGGACAAUGGGCGAAAGCCUGAUCCAGCAAUGCCGCGAGAGUGAUGAAGGCCUUAGGGUUGUAAAGCGCUUUUACCCGGGAUGAUAAUGACAGUACCGGGAGAAUAAGCCCCGGCAAACUCCGG
rnacentral:rRNA from 1 species